rnacentral:rRNA from 1 species
GAUGAGCCAAGAUUGGCACCCUUUAAGGUGCUACAUAGUAUUAAACUGAAGAGUUUGAUCAUGGCUCAGAUUGAACGCUGGCGGCAGGCUUAACACAUGCAAGUCGAGCGGGGAAGGGUAGCUUGCUACUUUACCUAGCGGCGGACGGGUGAGUAAUGC